GCAAGUCGAGGGGUAGAUAUCUUUCGGGAUAUUGAGACCGGCGCACGGGUGCGUAACGCGUAUGCAACCUGCCUUACACUGGGGGAUAGCCCGGAGAAAUCCGGAUUAAUACCCCAUAAUAUUAUUGAAUACGCAUGGUUUGAUAAUUAAAGAUUCAUUGGUGUAAGAUGGGCAUGCGUCUGAUUAGCUAGUUGGUAAGGUAAUGGCUUACAGGCGACGAUCAGUAGCGGGUCUGAGAGGAUGAUC
rnacentral:rRNA from 1 species